rnacentral:rRNA from 1 species
UAACGGCCGCGGUAUUUUAACCGUGCAAAGGUAGCGCAAUCAAUUGUCUUUUAAAUGGAGACCUGUAUGAAUGGCAUCACGAGGGUUUAGCUGUCUCUUUUUCCUGGUCAAUGAAACUGAUCUGCCCGUGCAGAAGCGGGCAUAACAUUACAAGACGAGAAGACCCUAUGGAGCUUUAGACGCCCACCAAUCAUGAAAAGCAACCCCGAUCAAGGGGCCCCUAAGCAACAUGACCCUGGCACAAACGUCUUCGGUUGGGGCGACCACGGGAGAAAACAAAGCUCCCGAGCGGAUAGGGGACACCCUAAAACCCAGAGCCACUGCUCUAAGUCACAAAAUAUUUGACCGACAAUGAUCCGGCUUCUUGCCGAUCAACGGACCAAGUUACCCUAGGGAUAACAGCGCAAUCCCCUCCCAGAGUCCAUAUCGACGAGGGGGUUUACGACCUCGAUGUUGGAUCAGGACAUCCUGAUGGUGCAGCCGCUAUCAAGGGUUCGUUUGUUCAACGAUUAAAGUCCUACGUGAUCUGAGUUCAGACCGGAGUAAUCCAGGUCAGUUUCUAUCUGUACCGCCACC